AUACUUACCUGGCGUAGAGGCUACCGUGAUCAAGAACGCGGUUCCUCCAGGGUGAGGCUCUUCCAUUGCACUGCGGUCGAGCUGACCUCUGCGAAUACCCCUAAUGUGGGUAUCUCGGACGUAUAAUUUUUGGUAGUCGGGACUGCGUUCGCGCUAUCCCGG
rfam:Habropoda laboriosa contig14406, whole genome shotgun sequence.